GCAUAAAAUCCAAACCAAAUAGGAAAACCUAAAGGGUAAUUUUAUACAUAGCCCCCAAAUUUCUUAUCAUAGCCCCUUAUUAAAAAAUAUAAUUAAAAUAUUAAUAAAUAUACAUUUUUACCCCUACAUCUCUAAAUUUGAAAUUUCAAUAACUAAUCCCACAAACAUUACUACAGCAAAUAUGCAUAGCCACGUUUCCUAAAAGAAAUUGUAUAGCCCCCA
rnacentral:lncRNA from 1 species